UUGCUGGCUCUCCUGAGCAUGUGCACACUUGUCAUCUUUACUUUUCCCCACUGUGCACAUAUUGUAGGCCUGGAAUUCUUUUGAUUAUUUUGUAUAGAUUGAGGACUGCUGUGCUUUCAGCCAGCUUUUCCUUGCAUUUCCAGGUCUAUGUUUACCUUCACAACCUCUGAAUAUGUUUAGAAUGUUGGAAUAUAAUAUAAAUAUACAACUUUCAGCAACGGAUCUCUUGGCUCUCGCAUCGAUGAAGAACGCAGCGAAAUGCGAUAAGUAAUGUGAAUUGCAGAAUUCAGUGAAUCAUCGAAUCUUUGAACGCAUCUUGCGCUCCUUGGUAUUCCGAGGAGCAUGCCUGUUUGAGUGUCAUCAAUCCCUCAACUAUACCAAUCUUUCUGGUUUGGUGUGGCUUUUGGAUGUGGGGGUUUUAUUUUGCUGGCUUCUAUUAAAUGAGGUCAGCUCCCCUGAAAUUUAUUAGCGGUAUCUGAGCAGAGAGACCUACUACAGGUGUGAUAAAUUAUCUAUGCCUUGGUAAUGCUGCAUGAACAGAUUGUGCUGCUUCUAGCGAAUUAUUUGACAAAU
rnacentral:rRNA from 1 species